rnacentral:rRNA from 1 species
GAUGAACGCUGGCGGCGUGCCUAAUAUAUGCAAGUCGAGCGAACUUUUGGGAGCUUGCUCCCAAGAGUUAGCGGCGGACGGGUGAGUAACACGUGGGUAACCUGCCUUUAACACUGGGAUAACUUCGGGAAACCGGAGCUAAUACCGGAUAACAUUUACGACCACAUGGUCUUCAACUAAAAGGUGGCUUUUAGCUACCACUUACAGAUGCACCCGCGGCGCAUUAGCUAGUUGGUGAGGUAACGGCUCACCAAGGCGACGAUGCGUAGCCGACCUGAGAGGGUGAUUGGCCACACUGGGAGUGAGACACGGCACAGAGUGCUUCAGGAAGCAGCAGGAGGGAAUCGUCCGGAAUGGGCGGAAGACUGACGGAGCAACGCCGCGUGAGGGAAGAAGGACUUCGGGUGGUAAAGCUCUGUUGUUAGGGAAGGAACAGUAUUGUUCGAAUAGGGAGGUACCUUGACGGUACCUAACCAGAAAGCCACGGCUAACUACGUG